UGAUUUUCACAACAGGAGUAAUAAGACUACAACUAAAGGUUAUAUAAUAUUAAUUGAUUGCCGAUCGGACGUACCAAUAUCGUACAUUAUUAAUUGUAGUUGCCGAUUAGAAAUUCUAUAUAAUUAUUAUAUUUUUAUUACACGCGUAUUUUGAACGGAUGAAGCGGUCAAGGAUGCAAAAGAAGUGGACAAUGAAGACAACGAUAGGAAUGGUUACAGAGAUCGUGAUAGUCGGAAAAAUUUGGUAGAAGCUCGUAAAAAUAUAUAUUUUAUUUUACUAUAAAGAGGUUAACGUGUAUCAUAUUUGAAUUAUGAAUAACUAUAAAUUAUAAUAUAUUGUAUUACAGUUAUUACGAUCUAUAUUUUGGUAUACAUAUACAUAAAUGACGGGCACUGUUGACUCAGCAGUAUUAAAAGUUAGUGCGUGGGUACGCGAUGAGUGGUUAUCAAGAAAAUAAUACCUACAGUGUUCAUAAGAAAAGAACGUUCAUACUCGGACGGGCCUCCGUCUGCGAGCAGUGGUAGGCGGGGCUUAUCGUUGCUUGCAUAUCGCAAAAACUCUAAAACAUACCGUGUUUCAAGGAGUAGUGUUUAGGCAUUUCAUAUUACAUGAACAUUUUGGCUACGUCAAUGUGUUAUAGAAGUAAAUCUAUAUCUAGUAUCACGAUGUUCUCUACAUCGUGUCUAGUAUAUUAUCUUAUCUAUCUUAAACCGUGAUGAACAUCAAGAUGUGUAAAAUCCUUUAUUGCAUUUUUCGCGACGAAAUUUUAAUUCCUGAUUUAAGAUAAAAAUCUAAAUAAAUCAUGCCACAUGAGAAUUCGUCAGAAAAAGAAAUCGAAUUCAAGUGGAGUUACGCUGUUUCAAAAGUUCCAUAAUAAAGAAUUUGAAUCGAUUUUUGGAUAAAUGUUUUAGUGUUUAGACCGGCUACAUGACUAAGAACUAAGAAGCUAAAUGCAUGACAUUAUGAAUCUAUUUUGGAAACGCAAAACAAGCCACAAGGAUAUUGGGUACCUAGCGAAAUGGACGACAAACUACUCACAUAAGCCACACAUUUUUAGUACUUGAGACGGGUGGUAAUGGUCAUGAAAAUUAUAUUUUAUUACACACGUAUUUAUAUUUAUAACUAUAAAUUAUACAGUUUAUAUUUUGAAUA